rnacentral:rRNA from 1 species
UACGAAGGAUGCAAGCGUUAUCCAGAUUCACUGGGUUUAAAGGAUGCGUAGGUAGACUGGUAAGUCCGUGGUGAAAAUCUCCAAGCUUAACUUGGAAACUGCCGUAGAUACUAUUAGUCUUGAAUCUCGUGGAGGUAAGCGAAAAUAUGUCAUGUAGCGGUGAAAAUGCUUAGAUAUGACAUAGAACACCGAUAGCGAAAAACAGCUUACUACACGAGUAUUAACACUGAGGCACGAAAGCGUGGGGAUCAAACAAG